ensembl:lncRNA
AUGGAGGCCAGGCAUCGCUCGCUGAUUGACUUGCAGGUGGCUGGAGAACUGCAUUGCAAAAUUCAGAGAAGUGUGAAUUUUGAACAGUGGCUGUGUUUUUGUUCAUGUAUUGUUUUGGACAGUGAAUUAGGACACAACAAUGGCUUCCAUUGUCGAAAGCCACAGCUGUCCAUGCUGAUCCGACACGAAAUUGAGUUGUGCUGUCACAGAGCAAGCAUCUUCACAGCCAUUCAGAAUCCAAAUGUGGAAAUCAGAGGGCGGGAGAAAGUAUGACAGCUCAAGGGAGCUUUGCUCUCCAGGAACACCUAUUUCCUGCUUUGAUUACUCUUAUCUAAUUGCCAUCACUUUUAAGACAACAGCGUGCGUGAGUGGGAACGCACACACUAAUCAUAAAAUUGCUUGUUAAAAUGUUUCAAUGAAUUAAGUAUCAACUAUAUUAAUAUUGCUUGAGGUGCUUUUACUUUUGGCUCUGAAAUGGUACCGAGAGGAACAUUCCAAACAAAUAUUCUGUACAUCACAUAUCCUGCUGACAUAAUUGCUACUUUAAAAAAUACUUAAAGGGAGAAGGUUAGGUCAUGUGCAUCUUAAUUGUCUUUCCCCUCUUUCCACUUUGAAAGAGAUAACUUAUAAGUUAUUUGGCAGGUAGCAGUUGAAAGGAAGAAGUAUUUACUUAUAGGAAAAUGGAAAGCCUUCAAAACUUGGGUAAAAUUUACACAUAGACUCAUUGUGGCUAUGAAGAAAGGAACCAACUAAUCCCUAAAGAAUACAAUCUGGCAGAAGCAAUCUUACAUAUAUCACAAACAAAAUAUUGAAAUAUUUUUCAGAUCUUUGCUUAGUCCCAGAAAGUGUUUAAGGCUUAGCUCUCUGCACCAGAGACUCUUAGUUGCAUUCCUUGUUGCAAUAAUAUGACUUUUAUUUUGCAUAAAGGAAUACAGCUUAUAAUUAUAUUUCUUAUUUUGAAGAAAUACAUGUAAGCAACCAGGUAAAAUAGCAUUUUUUUUGUUAGACCAAUUCAAGUUAUUGAAAUGCACAAGUUUGAAAGUUACCCAAAAUUGUUCAUGUAGGUGUGUGCAAGCUGUUAUAUUACACUCUGUUUCAUCAACAGACGUUUGCCCAGUAGAAUGCAAUUUCUGGCCAAAAGUAUAUACUACUCUUUAGUGCUAAGACAGCAACUGAUUUCUUAAACCAGCUUUGAAAGCAUGCGUAGCACUUUACUGAAGAAUAAACUCACAACAAACUAAAGCCUCAUUGAGAUUCAGAUGUAAUUUUGAAGUUUCGCUAGCUGUACCCAUAGAAGUAUUAUGAUGUAGCACGUAGACUGGAAAACAAAGUGCUAGCCAUAUCUCCCUGGCAAGAGCAUUCCACGGAUGGGGGCCACCAGUGAAAAGGCCUGUACUCAUGCAAACACCCUCCACACAUCUCACCUUGUGUGGAACACAUGGAGAAGGGUCUCUGAGGAAGACCACCAGUGUCUGGUCUGCUCCAACCCAGAUGUGUGCACUCUUCAGUCCAUUAUCUUAAUGUAGGGCUAGAGAUUAUACUCAGGUGAGUUGUAUUAAUUGUAUUAAUCCUCAGUUGCAUCAUUUAUUUUUCCUGCAACCAACUAUCCAAAAUAUACGGCUCUAGUGGCAGCUUCCAGUUCCAAAUAUGAAAUCUAACAAUGCAAUGAAAAUUAUAAAAUGCAUUACAUGCAUCAAAAGAAACCAAAAUAGUAGAUCAAACAGCAAAAGUCUCAUACGAGGCACACGUGCAAAAUUCUGUGGAACCUGAGAAGGAAUCCCAGGGCUUUAAUAUUCUGUUUCCA